UACGGAGGGUGUAAGCGUUAUCCGGAUUUACUGGGUUUAAAGGGUGCGUAGGCGGGCAGGUAAGUCAGAGGUGAAAUCUCCGAGCUUAACUCGGAAACUGCCUUUGAUACUAUUUGUCUUGAAUAUUGUGGAGGUAAGCGGAAUAUGUCAUGUAGCGGUGAAAUGCUUAGAUAUGACAUAGAACACCUAUUGCGAAGGCAGCUUACUACGCAUAUAUUGACGCUGAGGCACGAAAGCGUGGGGAUCAAACAGG
rnacentral:rRNA from 1 species